ACCUUUGUGGCGUAGUUGGUAACGUCUUGUUACGGUAAUUAUGUGUCCUAGGUUCGAGUCCCAGUUGGGGUC